ensembl:lncRNA
AGGCGGAUUUAGGGGAUGGGGAUAGGUCGGGGGACGGGGUUUGGGGAUGGCUAACUGCGCCCUUCCUAUGCAGCGUUAGAAAGCAGCACACAAAAGUACUCGUUAUCGCUGUUUCCUCGUCUAAAACCAGCUCCGCUCGCGCCAGCUCCCCUAACCCCACCCCGAAAAACCUGUGCGCAAGCAGCCGCCGGCAACGACGGACUUGCGAGAAAUACCGGUAAUUUAGCCGUCGCCUGACAACGGCACGAAACACGCAGCCCUUCUCUAAGGGUAUUUGCGAGAAAGCGAAGGCGCUUUGCUUUGUUUGCUUAGGUUGGCGAUGAAAAGGAGUGAAUGUUACGACGGCUUUAUAAAGCUAAUAUCGCCUGGGAAGAAAAACACCAUCAAACGCACCGGGUUGUUGUGGCAGCUCGUGUUUGAGCGCACGCAGCCAAUUUCUGCAAAGGGCUCCGCUGGCGCGGCUCCGCGGAGCGGCCUCCGGCUCGGCUCAGCUCGGGCUUCGCGAGAGCUUCCCGGUGGCCGCCAGGCCGCUGCUGCCCACGGGUGUCUGCGUGACACCCCGUGUCGGCCGAAUUGGGCCACCCUGUGCAGGACACCGGCGUUGCUCAAGCGCGGCAGAUACCGGCCACCAAUCCAGAAGGAGGAUCCCCUGGAAGACCAAACCUCAUCUGUCACGUUAAAUGACUUGAGUCUUGGCUACCUGACCCAAACUCCCCGGUACAAAUUAUAUGUAGCGCUAAGCCUCAAACUGCCCCGGAGCUGUCACUCCCCAGGGUGUUUUCACGUGAGCUCUGACUCGAGAGAUGGGAGCAGAAGUUGGGCCGGCAGGUUGUUCGGCGCCUCCGACAUCCCAAGGAAAACGGAGGCACAGAGAAGUCAAGCUGCACAUCCGUGGUCAUGCAAGGGCCAGGCCAACUGCUGCCCACUGUGGACACCGUGCGAGGUUACACCGCUCCGGCAAUCGCGGUGCAGGCAGCUGAUGUUUCUGCAUCAGCAGGAUUAAUCAGAUGAGCACAACCUGCAAGACAGGAGCAGGUCUUGAUGCCGGGGCUGGGCGUACUGCCGAGGUCGCUGCCGCACGCUCGGCUUUCCUCGUGAGAAUUCGCUGGGACCCAAGGACAGCACGGCAGCAUUUUGUAAGUCCUCACUGAUGCAUCUCUUCCAAGCCUUCCUGUUCAGGCUCUUUCACAAAAAUAAAAAACCCGCCAGAUUUUCA